rnacentral:rRNA from 1 species
UACGUAGGGUGCGAGCGUUGUCCGGAUUUACUGGGCGUAAAGAGCGCGCAGGCGGUCGUUCAAGUCGCGUGUGAAAGCCCCCGGCUCAACUGGGGAGGGUCACGCGAUACUGAUCGACUCGAAGGCAGGAGAGGGUAGUGGAAUUCCCGGUGUAGUGGUGAAAUGCGUAGAUAUCGGGAGGAACACCAGUGGCGAAGGCGACUACCUGCCCUGUUCUUGACGCUGAGGCGCGAAAGCUAGGGGAGCAAACGGG